rnacentral:sRNA from 1 species
ACGCGAUUGAUGCUGUGUUGACUCCGC